UUCCCGUAAGAUCACCGAUGUUAAGCAACGUUGAGCCUAGUCAGUACCUAGAUGGGUGACUGCUUGGAAAUACCAGGU